UACGUAGGGUGCGAGCGUUGUCCGGAAUUAUUGGGCGUAAAGAGCUCGUAGGCGGUGUGUCGCGUCGGCCGUGAAAACCUGGGGCUCAACUCUGGGCGUGCGGUCGAUACGGGCAUCACUUGAGUUCGGCAGGGGAGGACUGGAAUUCCUGGGUGUAGCGGUGAAAUGCGCAGAUAUCAGGAGGGAACACCGGUGGCGAAGGCGGGUCUCUGGGCCGAUACUGACGCUGGAGGAGCGGAAA
rnacentral:rRNA from 1 species